rnacentral:rRNA from 1 species
GAUGAACGCUGGCGGCGUGCCUAACACAUGCAAGUCGAGCGGACAGACGAGGAGCUUGCUCCGCUGACGUUAGCGGCGCGCGGGUGAGAAACACGUGGAUAACCUACCUAUAUGACGGGGAUAACUUCGUGAAACCGGAGCAAAUACCGGAUAAGAUACUGAACCGCAUGGGUGAAUGGUGAAAGACGGCUUUGCUGUCACUUAUCGCUGCUUCCGCGCCGCAUUAGCUAGUUGGUAAGGUAACGGCUUACCAAGGCGACGAUGCGUGGCCGACCUGAGAGGGUGAUCGGCCACACUGGAACUGAGACACGGUCCAGACUCCUACGGGAGGCAGCAGUAGGGAAUCUUCCGCAAUGGGCGGAAGCCUGACGGAGCAACGCCGCGUGAGUGAUGAAGGUCUUCGGAUCGUAAAACUCUGUUAUUAGGGAAGAACAAAUGUGUAAGUAAACAUGCACGUCUUGACGGUACCUAAUCAGAAAGCCCCGGCUAACUACGUG